rnacentral:rRNA from 1 species
UACGAAGGGGGCUAGCGUUGCUCGGAAUCACUGGGCGUAAAGGGCGCGUAGGCGGCCAUUCAAGUCGGAGGUGAAAGCCCAGGGCUCAACCCUGGAAUUGCCUUCGAUACUGUUUGGCUAGAGACCGGAAGAGGUAAGUGGAACUGCGAGUGUAGAGGUGAAAUUCGUAGAUAUUCGCAAGAACACCAGUGGCGAAGGCGGACUUACUGGUCCGGUUCGUGACGCUGAGGCGCGAAAGCGUGGGGAGCAAACAGG